rnacentral:rRNA from 1 species
GAUCAUGGCUCAGAUUGAACGCUGGCGGCAUGCCUUACACAUGCAAGUCGAACGGCAGCACGGGAGACUUGCUCCUGGUGGCGAGUGGCGGACGGGUGAGUAAUACAUCGGAACGUACCCUGAAGUGGGGGAUAACGUAGCGAAAGUUACGCUAAUACCGCAUAUUCUGUGAGCAGGAAAGAGGGGGAUCGCAAGACCUCUUGCUUUAGGAGCGGCCGAUGUCGGAUUAGCUAGUUGGUGAGGUAAAGGCUCACCAAGGCGACGAUCCGUAGCAGGUCUGAGAGGAUGAUCCGCCACACUGGGACUGAGACACGGCCCAGACUCCUACGGGAGGCAGCAGUGGGGAAUUUUGGACAAUGGGCGCAAGCCUGAUCCAGCCAUGCCGCGUGAGUGAAGAAGGCCUUCGGGUUGUAAAGCUCUUUCGGUGGGGAAGAAAUUGCUUCGGUUAAUACCUGGAGUAGAUGACGGUACCCGCAUAAGAAGCACCGGCUAACUACGUG